GCCGCUGUGGUGGAAUAGGCAGACACAAGGGACUUAAAAUCCCUCGCCCUUAAAGCGUACCGGUUCAAGUCCGGUCAGCGGCACCA
rnacentral:tRNA from 1 species